GGAAGAUCCAAAACUAAGUCUGGGAUCGAAUUUUCAGUUCCGACAAGUGGUCUAUGUGUUUCAUAUUGACUUUGGUGUCCGACCAAUAGAAGAUUCAACACUGAUAAUUUGAUCGCAGACUCACCAAUGGAGAAGAUGGCUGCUGUACCCAGCUUUACUCGCCUCACUACUGCGCUUCAUUGCCGCGAACGGACUGACCCGCUACUACAUGCAGCUCUCUCCCUCCUUGCACUCUCGUUCUCCAUUUGUCUAACCAUUAGCGACGCAUCUCCAUAUUCUCUCUUUCCCUCAUUCCGCCUACUCUUUUGAUUUUUGGAUAUGUGGUUUAGCUGGGUGGUUUGAUGCUGGUGGUGAUGGUGGUGCUAGUGCUUGUGGAAGUGCAGGUAAGAGUGGUGCAGGUGGUCAUUUUCUCUAGUCAUAGGUGGUUAUGUUUGUGGUGUUGGUUGUGGUUGUUAGGUGAUGGUGGUUGUGGUUGUGUGAGAUUCUGAUGCUGUGUGAGAUUCAGAUUGUGCAGGUGGUGAAGUGAUAGUGUUGGGCACAAGUGGCGAUGCUGUUAGGUUGUGUUGGUGGUGUGGUGCAAUACGGUGCGAUGCCAAUGAUUUUGUAGCUAGUAGUACAUGUGGUUCUGGUGAGGUGAUGUACGUUUGGUUGUCAAUGUUGGGAAUGGUGGUAAGUGACCAAAUCUAUCUUCAUUGUGACUACUUGUGACUAGAUUUGUUUUAAUUGUGACCUUAUGUGACUUGAUUACAUAUAGUCACAAAUUAUACUAAUAUAAUCACAGACAAUCACACCGAUGACAAAUUUAGCCAUGAACACAUAAUGUCAUAAUUCAUACGUUAUGGGUCACAAUCCGCUGUUAAAGUCACAUUUCACUAGUCACAUGUUUGAGUUCACAAGUCACAGUCAUUUCAUAUAACUCGAAAAUCAAUAUAAACGGGUCACAGAUCAAUAUUAAUAGGUCACAUGUCGUUUUGUAGAAGUCACAGAUCAAAUUUAUAUGUCACAUUUUAUGUUACGAGUCACGAGUUGAAAAUCAUAUUUUGUGCGUCACAAUAUACACAGGUCACAGGUUAUUACCUAGAAAAAAAAAAG
rnacentral:lncRNA from 1 species